CAAAAGUGAGGGGCAAAUUCAUUUUACACAGCGCCAAAAAACACGAACAAGGGAGAACACGGGACGAGCGCUGACUGCCAACAUCUUUAUUGAAGCCUGCACAAAUAUAUACUAUUUGCAAUGGGCUGAAAUUGUCAAAGGAAGGGCGGGAAGG
rnacentral:lncRNA from 1 species